UGGGGGGACCUGAUCCAGCCAUGCCGCGUGUGUGAAGAAGGCCUUUUGGUUGUAAAGCACUUUAAGCGAGGAGGAGGCUACCGAGAUUAAUACUCUUGGAUAGUGGACGUUACUCGCAGAAUAAGCACCGGCUAACUCUGUGCCAGCAGCCGCGGUAAUACAGAGGGUGCAAGCGUUAAUCGGAUUUACUGGGCGUAAAGCGCGCGUAGGUGGCCAAUUAAGUCAAAUGUGAAAUCCCCGAGCUUAACUUGGGAAUUGCAUUCGAUACUGGUUGGCUAGAGUAUGGGAGAGGAUGGUAGAAUUCCAGGUGUAGCGGUGAAAUGCGUAGAGAUCUGGAGGAAUACCGAUGGCGAAGGCAGCCAUCUGGCCUAAUACUGACACUGAGGUGCGAAAGCAUGGGGAGCAAACAGGAUUAGAUACCCUGGUAGUCCAUGCCGUAAACGAUGUCUACUAGCCGUUGGGGCCUUUGAGGCUUUAGUGGCGCAGCUAACGCGAUAAGUAGACCGCCUGGGGAGUACGGUCGCAAGACUAAAACUCAAAUGAAUUGACGGGGGCCCGCACAAGCGGUGGAGCAUGUGGUUUAAUUCGAUGCAACGCGAAGAACCUUACCUGGUCUUGACAUAGUAAGAACUUUCCAGAGAUGGAUUGGUGCCUUCGGGAACUUACAUACAGGUGCUGCAUGGCUGUCGUCAGCUCGUGUCGUGAGAUGUUGGGUUAAGUCCCGCAACGAGCGCAACCCUUUUCCUUAUUUGCCAGCGGGUUAAGCCGGGAACUUUAA
rnacentral:rRNA from 1 species